GGAACCAGUGUGAGAGCUCAGCAGCCAGCCAGCCUGAUGAAGGGAGGCCCGCGCCGAACAGAAACAGUACCUUUAUUCCUGCAAGCUAAGUCUUCUAUAGCCGCUUUAUAAAGAUGCAGUUUCUAAGCAAUGCCAGGCUCACACUGCGGCUAUGAUGAUGCUACAAAAGGCCUGUUAGAAAGUGGGGGAAAAUUGCUGGUCUCACAAAGAUCAUUUCAGCUCUAUCCGGGCCCACUGGACAGCUAACACCAGCAGAAUCAUUUUGGACCAAGAGGGUCAGCAAGAUGGUAAGUUCACGGUAAACACUCUCCGUUUUUCCUCUAGAAAUGUCUUUGGAUUUUUUUACAGUGGGUGGAUAGAGGUCAAGUGAUGGAAAUUUCUUGUGGCUUGAUUCAUUUCUGGUUUUACUAGAAGAAUUACUCACCAUUUUCUGUUUGAGAGGAAGCAUUCACCAUGCUGAAGCCUAGAACUUGCUUAAAAAAUAGAAACAGUUCUAACCUCAGACUCAUAAUUUGGAUGCAUUGAGUUUUGCAGCUGUAUCUAGUUAUCUUUUGAAAGUCAGUUCUCUUAUGAGUAAAUAGAUUCUGCAAUGUUCGGUUGUUAGGAAAACAAUAAUACAAGACCAAAGCAUUUUUUAAACCGCUUUAUUAAUGUAUUAUUGACAUAUAAAAAGCUGUACAUAUUUAAUGUAUGACUUGAUGAGUUUGGAAAUAAGUAUAUACCUGUGAAACCAUUGCCACGAUCUGUGCCAUAAACAUAUCCAUCUCCUCCAAAAGUUUCCACUUACCCUCUUUAUUUGUUAUUAUUAUUUUUUGCGAUAAAAAUGUUUAACAUACCUACCCACUCAGCAAAUUUUUAAGUGUACAAGACAGUAUUGUUAACUAUAGGCUCUAUGCUGGACAGUAGAUUUCUAAGAUUUAUUUAUCUUGUAUAAUUGAGACUUUGUACCUUUUGACUAAUACCUCCCUUUUCCAUCCCCCUCCACCAGUGCCUAUCAACCAUCAGUCUACUCUCUGCUUCUACAAGUUUGACUAUUUUAGAUUCCUCACACAAGUUAGACGACAGCAUCUUUUAAAGUUAAUUGAUCAUGUGGUGGUAAAUUAGGAGAAAAGUCUAGACAAAACAUAGAAACAAAGAUAAUUGUAAAUCCAAUAUAUUUUGGUAUAACCAAAUUCUAUGACUUAGGCAGAUAAUAAGUGGUGCACAUUCUGUCUAAAACAAAAUUUUCUGAAAGAAUUGUGUUGCA
rnacentral:lncRNA from 1 species